rnacentral:lncRNA from 1 species
GAGAGUAGCUGCCAUUUUAUGUCGAUCGUGAAUGAACAUGUGCGUUGCUAAUAAGAUAUUUUGCGGUGUUAUUUGUGGGCGUAACACAUGCAGCCGUGCCUAAUGGGAAAGGGGGGAUGGAACCGGUCGGGAGCAACCCAGGUCUCAAUAUGACUUCCAUCUGCAUCAAGACAUGAGUGUGAUGCCCCUACCAGUUGAGCUCUCUGUGUGUGAGUCCUCCCGGUUUUGACUUUUGCCUGUUUCUGGACUCUGUACCCGCCUGCCUUGACCAUGACCGUGUCUGCCACUCUGUACCUCCUGGACUCUGAUAUGGUUUUGACCUUUUGCCUGUCCACAACCAUUCUCUUGCCUACCCCUUUGGAUUAUUAAACAUUGUAAGAC